AGUCGGGAGGAUGGCGCUUGGACAUUUAGCAACGGAGGAUUUAAUCACGGGCUUACUUCGUUUUGGAAUAAAGGUCACUGAAGAGGAGCGAAGUAAAUUCAAAGAUAAUGAAGUUGACGGAGAAGCAGUGGACUAUGGAUUGACUGAGAGGAUGGUUUCAUACCUCUUUGAAGGAUCGUUUAAGAAGCAAGCCAAAUUCAACCGAUUUGUACAGCAGUGGAAAGAAACCGUGACACUAACCGUUGAGCCUGUCCCGGUACAUUCAGAGAAGGCUACAGUGGAAUCAAGAAUGAAUAUCUGCCGAAGAUUUUAAGAUGGCUUUAAGAUCCUAGUACCCACAGUGCUUAGACUGACUCAAAGGAAAUCUCCCCUUGCAGAUCUGGCUUUGGAGGAAAGAGAGGCUGCCCUCACCGAAGAUGUCCCUGGGAUUGAUUUCAGAGCUGCAAUCCUGCUGUUGCCGAUCCUGUUGAGGGAGAAAAAUGACAUUCUCAUCAUACUUGGAGAGGUGUGUAAUUUGCGUAUACUUAUUUUUUGUUUACAUUACUUCACGCAGAGACUGGGAGAAUUAUAUGCAUCCCUUGGAUGUCUUAUUUCAUAAUACAAAGUUUCUAGCUGUCAAUACUGGGCCUUGGUGUGGACAUGGGGGAAC